CUAACACAUGCAAGUCGAGCGGUAGCACAGAGAGCUUGCUCUCGGGUGACGAGCGGCGGACGGGUGAGUAAUGUCUGGGAAACUGCCUGAUGGAGGGGGAUAACUACUGGAAACGGUAGCUAAUACCGCAUAACGUCGCAAGACCAAAGUGGGGGACCUUCGGGCCUCAUGCCAUCAGAUGUGCCCAGAUGGGAUUAGCUAGUAGGUGGGGUAACGGCUCACCUAGGCGACGAUCCCUAGCUGGUCUGAGAGGAUGACCAGCCACACUGGAACUGAGACACGGUCCAGACUCCUACGGGAGGCAGCAGUGGGGAAUAUUGCACAAUGGGCGCAAGCCUGAUGCAGCCAUGCCGCGUGUGUGAAGAAGGCCUUCGGGUUGUAAAGCACUUUCAGCGGGGAGGAAGGCGGUGAGGUUAAUAACCUCAUCGAUUGACGUUACCCGCAGAAGAAGCACCGGCUAACUCCGUGCCAGCAGCCGCGGUAAUACGGAGGGUGCAAGCGUUAAUCGGAAUUACUGGGCGUAAAGCGCACGCAGGCGGUCUGUCAAGUCGGAUGUGAAAUCCCCGGGCUCAACCUGGGAACUGCAUUCGAAACUGGCAGGCUAGAGUCUUGUAGAGGGGGGUAGAAUUCCAGGUGUAGCGGUGAAAUGCGUAGAGAUCUGGAGGAAUACCGGUGGCGAAGGCGGCCCCCUGGACAAAGACUGACGCUCAGGUGCGAAAGCGUGGGGAGCAAACAGGAUUAGAUACCCUGGUAGUCCACGCCGUAAACGAUGUCGAUUUGGAGGUUGUGCCCUUGAGGCGUGGCUUCCGGAGCUAACGCGUUAAAUCGACCGCCUGGGGAGUACGGCCGCAAGGUUAAAACUCAAAUGAAUUGACGGGGGCCCGCACAAGCGGUGGAGCAUGUGGUUUAAUUCGAUGCAACGCGAAGAACCUUACCUGGUCUUGACAUCCACAGAACUUUCCAGAGAUGGAUUGGUGCCUUCGGGAACUGUGAGACAGGUGCUGCAUGGCUGUCGUCAGCUCGUGUUGUGAAAUGUUGGGUUAAGUCCCGCAACGAGCGCAACCCUUAUCCUUUGUUGCCAGCGGUUCGGCCGGGAACUCAAAGGAGACUGCCAGUGAUAAACUGGAGGAAGGUGGGGAUGACGUCAAGUCAUCAUGGCCCUUACGACCAGGGCUACACACGUGCUACAAUGGCAUAUACAAAGAGAAGCGACCUCGCGAGAGCAAGCGGACCUCAUAAAGUAUGUCGUAGUCCGGAUUGGAGUCUGCAACUCGACUCCAUGAAGUCGGAAUCGCUAGUAAUCGUAGAUCAGAAUGCUACGGUGAAUACGUCCCCGGGCCUUGUACACACCGCCCGUCACACCAUGGGAGUGGGUUGCAAAAGAAGUAGGUAGCUUAACCUUCGGGAGGGCGCUUACCAC
rnacentral:rRNA from 1 species